UACGAAGGGGGCAAGCGUUGUUCGGAAUUACUGGGCGUAAAGGGCGCGCAGGCGGCCUGACAAGUCAGAUGUGAAAGCCCCGGGCUCAACCUGGGUAUAGCAUUUGGGACUGUUGGGCUAGAGAUCGGGAGAGGAGAGUGGAAUUCCCAGUGUAGAGGUGAAAUUCGUAGAUAUUCGCAAGAACACCAGUGGCGAAGGCGGCUCACUGGCCCGGUACUGACGCUGAGGUGCGAAAGCGUGGGGAGCAAACAGG
rnacentral:rRNA from 1 species